AACGAACGCUGGCGGCAUGCCUAACACAUGCAAGUCGAACGAGACCUUCGGGUCUAGUGGCGCACGGGUGCGUAACGCGUGGGAACCUGCCCUUAGGUUCGGAAUAACUCCCCGAAAGGGGUGCUAAUACCGGAUAAUGUCUUCGGACCAAAGAUUUAUCGCCUUUGGAUGGGCCCGCGUUGGAUUAGCUAGUUGGUAGGGUAAAAGCCUACCAAGGCGACGAUCCAUAGCUGGUCUGAGAGGAUGAUCAGCCACACUGGGACUGAGACACGGCCCAGACUCCUACGGGAGGCAGCAGUGGGGAAUAUUGGACAAUGGGCGAAAGCCUGAGACAGCAAUGCCGCGUGAGUGAUGAAGGCCUUAGGGUUGUAAAGCUCUUUUACCCGGGAUGAUAAUGACAGUACCGGGAGAAUAAGCUCCGGCUAACUCCGUG
rnacentral:rRNA from 1 species